GAAUUAUCCUUAAUUUCAAAAAGCUUACCCAUGUCUCCAACUAGGAAACGCCUGCAUUACCUACUCGUCCAUCCACUGAUCAACAAGUUGUACUUGAGAAGUAGAUGGACGAAGAUAACAAGGUGAAGUGCUAUAUCUUAGCAUCCAUGUCUAAUGAUCUUCAGCAAUAGCAUGAAGAUAUGAGGACUGUUUGGGAGAUGCUAGUUCACCUGCAAGAGUUGUAUGGUAAACAGAGUCACACAGUUCACUUUGAGGUCUCCUAAAG
rnacentral:lncRNA from 1 species